rnacentral:tRNA from 1 species
GGCUUGUUAGCUCAGGUGGUAAGAGCGACGUGUUAGUAUCACGGAAGACAUGAGUUCGAUCCUCAUACAAGUCA